AUUAUUAAGACAGUAUUUCGUUUGUCCUGUGUAAAGAAUGUGGGAUAUGACAGUAAAUGACAAUUUUUUUCGUUUCAGUGAUGACGAACAUAUCACAUCAAUGUCAGAAUUCAGCGUCUAUAAAGAAACUCCUCGGAGUAAAAUAUUUUUAAUAAUUCGAAAUCGAAACCAUCCUCAGUCGUUCGGGCUGGAAUACACAAGCGGUCGGCUGAGAAAUUACUCGUCUCCUGACAGGUUAUCGUUGGGGUCCAUUGUAUAAUGUUGUUGACGAAGAAGUAGAAAGCAGUCAUUUAAAUUCCUCGCUGCAUCUCCAGGAAAUUUAACCGAAGCUGUGUACAGAUUUAACUGCAAUAUU